CAUGGCCUCGUGGUGAUGAUACAUAUCAGAUUGCAAAUCUGAAGACGCAGGUAAACCUCCUGCCGGGGCUUU
ensembl:Mt_tRNA